rnacentral:tRNA from 1 species
GGGGAGUUAGUCCAAGAUAAGACCUCUGAUUUCGGCUCAGAAGACUGUGGUUUAAUUCCACAACUCCCCU